CCUACGGGUGGCAGCAGUGAGGAAUAUUGGUCAAUGGGCGCGAGCCUGAACCAGCCAAGUAGCGUGCAGGAUGACUGCCCUACGGGUUGUAAACUUCUUUUAUAAAGGAAUAAAGUGAGGCACGUGUGCCUUUUUGUAUGUACUUUAUGAAUAAGGAUCGGCUAACUCCGUGCCAGCAGCCGCGGUAAUACGGAGGAUCCGAGCGUUAUCCGGAUUUAUUGGGUUUAAAGGGAGCGUAGGUGGGCUGUUAAGUCAGUUGUGAAAGUUUGCGGCUCAACCGUGGAAUUGCAAUUGAUACUGGCAGCCUUGAGAGCAGUUGAGGUAGGCGGAAUGCGUGGUGUAGCGGUGAAAUGCUUAGAGAUCACGAAGAACUCCGAUUGCGAAGGCAGCUUACUAAGCUGCCACUGACGUUGAUGCUCGAAAGUGUGGGUAGCAAACAGGAUUAGAUACCCGUGUAGUC
rnacentral:rRNA from 1 species